UGCCUACGGGACGCAGCAGUGAGGAAUAUUGGUCAAUGGACGAGAGUCUGAACCAGCCAAGUAGCGUGAAGGAUGACUGCCCUAUGGGUUGUAAACUUCUUUUAUAUGGGAAUAAAGUUUUCCACGUGUGGAAUUUUGUAUGUACCAUAUGAAUAAGGAUCGGCUAACUCCGUGCCAGCAGCCGCGGUAAUACGGAGGAUCCGAGCGUUAUCCGGAUUUAUUGGGUUUAAAGGGUGCGUAGGCGGGCUGUUAAGUCAGCGGUCAAAUGUCGGGGCUCAACCCCGGCCUGCCGUUGAAACUGGCGG
rnacentral:rRNA from 1 species